AUGCUGUAAUCAGGCUUGAGCUCCGAUUGGUUUUGGCAAUGCUGCUCUAGCAUACGGAAAUCCCUCAAUAGCAUACAUGCAAUGCCGAAAGACCCUAAAAUAGCAAUACCAGACAAUUGUAGGAUGAGGCUUGUACUCUGGCAGGAUCUCUGAUGUGUGCUUUUAAAAAAAAAUAAUUUAGCUUAAUAUCGAGUAGCAGUGCAAGUUCUAUCCUUCCAUUUAAGAUGCCCCUUUCUCCCGUAUCUGCAAGGAUUCUGCAUAAUAUGUUUCUAUAACGUGGAUGGAAUGUUAGAUAAUGGGAAGUAGGCAACGUGCCUCAUGUGGUGGAGAAUGGAUGCAGGAAGUUCUCAAAAUCACCGAAAGAGAUUGCAAAGAUUGUUGCAGAAUGAUUUGGUCCAAAGGCAGAUGAACUCAAGGCCAUGUCACAAAAUGCACUGAAGCUGGCCAGACCUGAUUCUGUAUUCCAGAUUGUCCAUGAUCUCCAUGAGCUGGUUAGACACAGAAAUUUUGUCCCCCAGUAUUCCUGUGCAACUUGACAUUUUUCACCACCUAUCAAUUUUGAUGAGUUCAGAGUGGUGUAUAGUGGGUUAACCCGAGGCCUGUUGAUCCUCCAAUUGAAACCAAAAAAAAAUAAAUAGAUUUACCCUUUCUACCUCAUAUCACUCGAUGACAUUGUAUUGAUU